rnacentral:rRNA from 1 species
GAUGAACGCUGGCGGCGUGCCUAAUACAUGCAAGUCGAGCGAACGGACGCGAAGCUUGCUUCUCUGAUGUUAGCGGCGGACGGGUGAGUAACACGUGGAUCCUCUCCCUAUAUGACUGGGAUCACUUCGGAAAACCGGAGCUUAUCGCGGAUGAUCUUUUGCACCGUGUGGUUCAAAAGUAAAUGUCGGCCUUUCUGUCACUUCUAGCUGGUUCCGCGCUGCAUUGGCUGGUUGGUAAGGUCACGGCUUACCACGGGAACGAGGCGUAGCCGACCUGAGAGGGUGAUCGGCCACACGGGAGCGGAGACACGGUCCAGACUCCUACGGGAGGCAGCAGUAGGGAAUCUGCCGCAAUGGGCGAAAGCCUGACGGAGCAACGCCGCGUGAGUGAUGAAGGUCUUCGGAUCGGAAAACUCUGUUAUUAGGGAAGAACAGAUGUGUAAGGAACUGUGCACAUCUUGACGGUACCUAAUCAGAAAGCCACGGCUAACUACGUG